ACUUGCUGCUCACCUCACCACCAUGUGGCCUGCGCUUCUGGAAAAUCUCUCUAAACCCGGCUUUUCCUGGAUGUCUUCUUGGCAGAACUCUGGGAGGCAGGAGCCUUCAGGAUGAGGCAUCGCAAAGAUGGCUCAUACCCAGACCGGUGACCUCCAACAGAGACACGCCAGGAAGGUGGAAGGGGCCGUGCGGCAGGAUCAUGUUCUGGACUGGAAAGUACGUCUGCUCAUUACCCGACCUUUGCUAAGUACACCAACUAAUGGAGCGAGAGACGUGAAAGAUCUUCACAGGCCAUGUGGAAAUGUAAUUCAAACCCAGCUCGAGGAGGUCACCUGCAAAGACCUGAAAAUGAAUGAAAUACCAUUUUAUACCUUGGAGGCCCCCAGUCCAGUCACUCUCAGAGGAACCUUUUCAAUGUUGCCAAAUGGACAUCCAUUCAGCUCCUCUUUCAGCCCACCUCCUCCCAGGACAGCUUAAUCUCUCCGUGGAAAAGGAGGAAAACGACAAACAUGCCAACCUCUGAACCUGUUUGCGCAUCUGGGGAAGAUGGAGGCCACUCUUCCAGGGCUGUGGCAGCUACACCUGGUGAGCUGACACAUCCUAACUGCUCAGCAAAGGUGAUGAUGACUGUUACCACAUCCUGUGCCUGCUUGUCGUUCCUGGGUGUCCCACAGCACCUCACAGACACCACUUGCUCGUGCAACCAUUGUCCUGAUAUGGUUUGCCUCCUCACUACCAGAGGGGGAGCUCCAUGAGGGCAGGGUUUAUAUUUCAUUCAUCUCUGUCCCCAGCCCCGGUGCCCAGACCAGACCCUGGCAUGGAGCAGAAAUCAAGGAGCAUUUAUUGGCUGGAGGAAGGAGAAAACAACGGGCAGUUCAUUUUAAAAAUGCAGACCCUGAUGGUUCCCAGAAAUUCCAGUUGAUUCAUGGUUUUUGACUGGAAUUGUAGUUUUCCCUGAAUUCAACAUUCAGCUGAACCCAAGGAGUGCCAAGUAAACACAGGCACAGGUCACCAAAUCUUCAGGCCAUACAAGGAGUGAAAUUCCAGUCUUCGUUUCUU